rnacentral:pre_miRNA from 1 species
CUUUUUGCGGUCUGGGCUUGCUGUUCUCAACUAUCAAUGGGAAGCCCUUACCCCAAAAAGCA